AUUGCGGGGCUGUCGAGGGCGAAUAAUCACAAAGCCGGUAUAGGAAUCGAUCGAAAACGACUCUUCUGGAGAUCGAAUUCGCGAAAUGGCGUGAGAGCGAGCAAAUUACGAAGAAGAGCUUUGAACCACUGAAGACUUGAAUCCGAUUCGAGCUCGUUACAGGAAGCAGCAUGCUUUGGUGUGGGACUCUUUCCUCAUCGAAAGACAGCUCAAUUUCCAGGAUGAAGCAAUGCAAAGUGACCAUGAAGGGAUAAUGAUUCAAGCACAAGCAAUCCAAUCUGACCAUUAGGAGCUUUCCACCGGCUGGCACAAUGAGAAAGAAGGAAGUUUAUCAAAUGGAAGAUUUCUAUUGCAGGUGUGGAAGUUCUUGUAGAGGGUGGUGGGUGUGGAGCUUAAACAGCAUGGGGAUUAGUUUAUGAUUUGUUUUUGUGUAAUUUUGUAAUGGAUUUGGAUUUGUAUUGUGACUGUAAUCUCUUAGACUUAGAACUUUUGUAAUUCACUGAAUCAGUAACUUCUGCCCAUUUGAAUGCAUCUUCCCCCGUAAGGAAAUUCAAUCUUCAAUUCUCAAA